UUAAGUUCAGCGGGUAAUCCUGCCUGAUCUGAGGUCUAAUCUAAAAAUUGACUAAGAUCUGAUUAUAAGCUUCUACUGUCUUCUAAUUCGGCCACCGUGAGGUGUCCUCAGCGAAUAGUCUAUUACGCUGAGUCAAUCCGAGUUUCGAAAUUGAGAUGCUAAUGUAUUACGAAUGAGCUACGUCCAAAGACCAGCAACAC
rnacentral:misc_RNA from 1 species